rnacentral:rRNA from 1 species
GACGAACGCUGGCGGCGUGCUUAACACAUGCAAGUCGAACGGAAAGGCCUUUUCGGAGGUACUCGAGUGGCGAACGGGUGAGUAACACGUGGGUGAUCUGCCCUGCACUCUGGGAUAAGCCUGGGAAACUGGGUCUAAUACCGGAUAGGACCGCACUUUAGUGGGUGUGGUGGGAAGUUUUUUCGGUGUAGGAUGGGCCCGCGGCCUUUCAGCUUGGUGGUGGGGUAAUGGCCUACCAAGGCGGCGACGGGUAGCCGGGCUGGGGGGUUGGUCGGCCACAUUGGGACUGAGAUACGGCCCAGACUCCUACGGGGGGCAGCAGUGGGGAAUAUUGCACAAUGGGCGCAAGCCUGAUGCAGCGACGCCGCGUGGGGGAUGACGGCCUUCGGGUUGGAAACUCCUUUCGCCAGGGACGAAGCGUUUUGUGACGGUACCUGGAGAAGAAGCACCGGCUAACUACGUG